rnacentral:tRNA from 1 species
UCCUGGAUAGCUCAGUCGGUAGAGCAUAAGACUCUUAAUCUCAUGGUUGUGGGUUCAAGCCCCACGCUGGGCA